rnacentral:rRNA from 1 species
CCAAUAGCGUAUAUUAAAGUUGUUGCAGUUAAAAAGCUCGUAGUUGAACUUCGGGGUCUACCCAUUGGUCAGGCUUAAUUGUCUGUACUGGUGAGAUGGAUCUCUACCUUCUGAGGAACUUUCUUGCCAUUUAUUUGGUGUGAUUGGAAAUCAGGACUGUUACUUUGAAAAAAUUAGAGUGUUUAAAGCAGACUAUCGUCUGAAUACAUUAGCAUGGAAUAAUGAAAUAGGACGGACUGAUUCUAUUUCGUUGGUUUCUAGGAUCACCGUAAUGAUUAAUAGGGAUAGUUGGGGGCAUUAGUAUUCAAUUGUCAGAGGUGAAAUUCUUGGAUUUAUUGAAGACUAACUACUGCGAAAGCAUUUGCCAAGGAUGUUUUCAUUAAUCAAGAACGAAAGUUAGGGGAUCGAAGACGAUCAGAUACCGUCGUAGUCUUAACCAUAAACUAUGCCGACUAGGAAUCAGACGAUGUUAAUUUUUUAAUGACUAGUUUGGCACCUUACG